rnacentral:lncRNA from 1 species
GCUGUUGGGAUUAUUUAAAAACCUUUAUUAGUUUCAUUUUUGUGAUUAGUCCUGAAAAUAAUUUAGUUUAGAGGAGAGAGGUUUUAAGAAACGAUCAUGCACUCUGCAAACACAGCUGACAGCCUGAGCAGCAACUGAGGUGGUGGCUCAACAUCAGGGAGGCGAGAGCCAAGCUGGAGAAGGCAGGCUGGGCCCCUGCAGCUGCACGCUCGGCCCUGGCCCUGGCAGAGCGCGCUAGGGUGCCAAGGCGGAGUCAAUGUUUCCAAACGCUCUGAGUUCCCAAGAGGCCUGAAAUCCAGUCUUCCGUGAGAAUUCUUCCUGUUCUUAAACGUUGGUAACUAACUCAAAUUUUAACACAUCAUCGGACCGACGGGGCACAUCCGUGAGCCCUGCGGGCUGCUGCCAGCUUGUCAAUGCCUGCUCUGAGCUCCCUCUCCUCGUCCCCUGCCUCCUCACACAGGGGAGGCACGAGGACAAAGAGCUGCAUGGCAGGGUGCAGGCAGAGACAGCGCUGCGGCCACAAUGGUGCUUGCUCUUCAGGUGCUGCGCUCCAGUGACAGCCCACGGACAGCCACCCCAUGUGGGCCUUCUAGGGCCACCGCCAGUGGCAUCUGCAGGGGACUUGCUCCCUGCGUCUUCUGUGGGGUCAUCAGCUUCCAGGGGACCUUCUUGAGGCCACCACUCAGAAUUCUCUCCAUGGAAACCCGGGGACAUGGUAUUGCCACGACUCUUUGCCUUUGCCUUUGCCUCCUUGGACUCUGUGUUCCUUCCCUUUUAAUCAUUUCUACCACUUCUCAAGGGUGCCUGUCCAGAUUGUGUGAGUCCCGACUUCUGUUUAAAAUAUGGGUAUGAAAUGCAAGGGUCCCUCCACAAAAUCGUUCCUCCUCGGAACAGAAACAGGCCCCUGCCCCUCUUGGCCCAAAUCUGCCGACUCAGCUCUUAGACCCACGCCCUCCCAGCCCUCCGACCACCCAGAGCGACGGCUCACCUUCCCCUUGAUGCUGAGGCCCCCGGUGUCAUAGACGAUGCCCUUGCCCACCCAUGCGAUGGUCUGCGUGGCUCCGUCAGGGGUGUGGCUGAGGAUGGCCAGGGCCGGGGGGUGCAGGGCCGCUUUGCCGACGCCGUAGAUCCCUGUGGGCGGGGAGAGCGUGAGGCCUCCCGCAUUCACGCCAGCACCUCCCUUUCCCAGUCUGCUCCCACGGCCUCUGCUCCACUGCCUUGCUCUGCUUUACAUGCUUCACUUCCAAAAAGACCAUGGCCCGCUGAAGGGCAGAGGCUGGGCCCCAAGGUUCCUCCAUCACUGAGCUGAAUAACAAUAGCAACCAGACAAGCACUAACAAUGGCUAUCCCGUGAGCUCCUAUUCAUCCUGCAGGAUCCACUGCAAAAGUCACCUCCUCUGAGAAACUUCCCCACAUAAGGAGCUUAUGUGUCUGUAGUAGGUGCCACUUAGAUGACUCCCAGUGUCCCCUCUGUAGGGGUACUCUGCCACCUCAGAGUGGCAGAAGCAAGGAGACACCUCCUGGAGGUUACAAGGAAAGAUGGG